AGAUAAUGCCUUUUUUCGUCGAUGCACACUUACCAGAACCACUAGGAAUAUUGCUGAGCCUAUUGUUUCGAUCAAUGUAGGAUGCAGCAUCAUCUAGCUCAUUGUCUCCCAUCCCUUCUUUUCCUUGUUCAGCAGAUUGCAUCGCUUGCUGAAGGUUCGUUUUUAAAGUGUUGACUAAAGAUUCGUUACACUUGGCUCUGUAACACCAAUUUUGCGCCUCAGCUGUAACUUGCUUCAUCCGUUCAACUAGUUCUCUGUUCUUCUGAUUUAUGUUCUCUAACUCAAUAUCCUUCUCUUGCAACUUAGUGCCAACAUUCUUCUCGACUGCACUCAGUAACGAAGCCAUAUGUCUCUGCUUUAUGUCUCUAACACCUCUAGCCCAAGUUUCUUCCUGAGUCUUAAGAUACUGAUCAAAUUCCUUCUUCUGGCGUUCCAUUUCUGUUUUAAUGUUGUCACCAAGGGACAUUAUAACUGAUGCU
rnacentral:misc_RNA from 1 species